rnacentral:tRNA from 6 species
CGGGGAUUGGCGUAACUGGGAGCCGCGCGCGAUUCAAGAUCGCGUGUCCGUGAGGACGUGAGGGUUCGACCCCCUCAUCCCCGA